UACGUAGGGCGCAAGCGUUAUCCGGAAUUAUUGGGCGUAAAGAGCUCGUAGGCGGUUUGUCGCGUCUGCCGUGAAAGUCCGGGGCUCAACUCCGGAUCUGCGGUGGGUACGGGCAGACUAGAGUGCGGUAGGGGAGACUGGAAUUCCUGGUGGUAGCGGUGAAAUGCGCAGAUAUCAGGAGGAACACCGGUGGCGAAGGCGGGUCUCUGGGCCGGAUAUCGACGCUGAGGAGCGAAAGCGUGGGGAGCGAACAGG
rnacentral:rRNA from 1 species